rnacentral:tRNA from 1 species
GGACAGAUGGCAGAGUGGUCGAAUGCGCACGCUUGGAAAGCGUGUGUGCGCUAAUACCGCACCGAGGGUUCGAAUCCCUCUCUGUCCG